rnacentral:rRNA from 1 species
UACAGAGGUCUCAACCGUUGUUCGGAUUCAUUGGGCGUAAAGGGUGCGUAGGCGGUCGUGCAAGUCGGAUGUGAAAUCUCAGGGCUCAACCCUGAAACUGCAUUCGAUACUGCGUGGCUAGAGUGCUGGAGAGGAGACUGGAAUUUACGGUGUAGCAGUGAAAUGCGUAGAUAUCGGAAGGAAGACCGGUGGCGAAGGCGAGUCUCUGGACAGCAACUGACGCUGAGGCACGAAGGCCAGGGGAGCAAACGGG